rnacentral:rRNA from 1 species
CCUACGGGUCGCAGCAGUGGGGAAUAUUGGACAAUGGGCGAAAGCCUGAUCCAGCCAUGCCGCGUGUGUGAAGAAGGCCUUCGGGUUGUAAAGCACUUUCAGUGGGGAAGAAAGCCUUGGGGCUAAUACCCUCGAGGAAGGACAUCACCCACAGAAGAAGCACCGGCUAACUCCGUGCCAGCAGCCGCGGUAAUACGGAGGGUGCGAGCGUUAAUCGGAAUUACUGGGCGUAAAGCGCGCGUAGGCGGUCUGAUAAGCCGGUUGUGAAAGCCCCGGGCUCAACCUGGGAACGGCAUCCGGAACUGUCAGGCUAGAGUGCAGGAGAGGAAGGUAGAAUUCCCGGUGUAGCGGUGAAAUGCGUAGAGAUCGGGAGGAAUAGCAGUGGCGAAGGCGGCCUUCUGGACUGACACUGACGCUGAGGUGCGAAAGCGUGGGUAGCAAACAGGAUUAGAUACCCUAGUAGUC